AUUGAACGCUGGCGGCAGGCCUAACACAUGCAAGUCGAACGAGUGGCGUAAGGGUUAGUAAUGUCUGGGACACUGCCUGAUGGAUGAGGAUCGCUACUGGCAACGGUAGCUAAUACCGCAUACCAUCGGCUAUGCCCAGAUGGGAUUAGCUAGUGGGUGGGGUAAAGGCUCACCUAGGCGACGAUCCCUACCUGGUCUGAGAGGAUGACCAGCCACACAGGAAAUGAGACACGGGCAAGACUCCUACGGGAGGCAGCAGUGGGGAAUAGUGCACAAUGGGCGAAAGCCUGAUGCAGCCAUGCCGCGUGUAUGAAGAAGGCCUUCGGGUUGUAAAGUACUUUCAGCGGGGAGGCGUUACCCGCAGAAGAAGCACCGGCUAACUCCGUGCCAGCAGCCGCGGUAAUUC
rnacentral:rRNA from 1 species